GACGAACGCUGGCGGCGUGCUUAACACAUGCAAGUCGAGCGGAAAGGCUCCUUCGGGGGUACUCGAGCGGCGAACGGGUGAGUAACACGUGAGUAAUCUGCCCUUGGCUUUGGGAUAACUACCGGAAACGGUGGCUAAUACCGGAUACGACGACUCCACGCAUGUGGUGGUUGUGGAAAGUUUUUUCGGCCAGGGAUGUGCUCGCGGCCUAUCAGCCUGUUGGUGGGGUAAUGGCCUACCAGGGCUUCGACGGGUAGCCGGCCUGAGAGGGUGACCGGCCACACUGGGACUGAGACACGGCCCAGACUCCUACGGGAGGCAGCAGUGGGGAAUAUUGGACAAUGGGCGGAAGCCUGAUCCAGCAACGCCGCGUGAGGGAUGACGGCCUUCGGGUUGUAAACCUCUUUCAGUACCGACGAAGCGCCGAUGAUGGUGGUGACGGUAGGUACAGAAGAAGCACCGGCCAACUACGUGCCAGCAGCCGCGGUAACAC
rnacentral:rRNA from 1 species